UACUCCUACGGGAGGCAGCAGUAGGGAAUCUUCGGCAAUGGGGGCAACCCUGACCGAGCAACGCCGCGUGAGUGAAGAAGGUCUUCGGAUCGUAAAACUCUGUUGGUAGAGAAGAACGUUAAGUAGAGUAGCAGCUGCCUUAAGUGACGGACCUACCCAGAUUCGCCAGUUC
rnacentral:rRNA from 1 species